UACGGGGGGGGCAAGCGUUGUUCGGAAUUACUGGGCGUAAAGGGCCAGUAGGCGGCCAACUAAGUCGGAUGUGAAAUCCCCAGGCUUAACCUGGGAACUGCAUCCGAUACUGGAUGGCUUGAAUUCGGGAGAGGGAUGCAGAAUUCCAGGUGUAGCGGUGAAAUGCGUAGAUAUCUGGAGGAAUACCGGUGGCGAAGGCGACUUCCUGGCCUGUUCUUGACGCUGAGGCGCGAAAGCUAGGGGAGCAAACGGG
rnacentral:rRNA from 1 species